rnacentral:misc_RNA from 1 species
UCUCCGUUGGUGAACCAGCGGAGGGAUCAUUACCGAGUUUACAACUCCCAAACCCCUAUGUGAACGUUACCAAACUGUUGCCUCGGCGGGAAAUUCAUGCCCCGGGCGCGUCUCAGCCCCGGACCAAGGCGCCCGCCGGAGGACCAACCAAAACUCUUUUGUAUGUCCCUCGCGGACUUUUAUAAUUCUGAACCAUCUCGGCGCCCCUAGCGGGCGUUUCGAAAAUGAAUCAAAACUUUCAACAACGGAUCUCUUGGUUCUG